AUCCCAGCACUUUGGAAGGCCGAGGUGGGCGAUUCGCCCGAGAGGCCUUCGAGGAAGAGGCCCACCUCCUUCAUGGGCCUCUGAGCCUGAACGCCCAUCCAUUCUUAGUGCAUCAGAACUGAAGGAGCUUGAUAAAUUUGAUAACCUAGAUGCUGAAGCUGAUGAAGGUUGGGCAGGUAAGAGGCAAAAUUAAUUAAGUCCUUUAAAUUGUUAGAUGCUUUCAAGCAGCCAGUCUGAGUUUUCCUUAAUUUAAUAGGUGCUCAGAUGGAAGUAGAUUAUACAGAGCAACUGAAUUUCAGUGAUGAUGAUGAACAAGGAAGUAACAGUCCUAAAGAAAAUAACAGUGAGGAUCAAGGUUCAAAAGCCUCUGAAAACAAUG
rnacentral:sRNA from 1 species